UACGUAGGGUGCGAGCGUUGUCCGGAAUUAUUGGGCGUAAAGGGCUCGUAGGCGGCGUGUCGCGUCGGGGAGUGAAAGCCCGCUGCUUAACGGCGGGUUGGCUUCCGGUACGGGCAGACUAGAGUGCGGUAGGGGAGACUGGAAUUCCUGGUGUAGCGGUGGAAUGCGCAGAUAUCAGGAGGAACACCGAUGGCGAAGGCAGAUCUCUGGGCCGUAACUGACGCUGAGCUGACGAAAGGCUAGGGGGAGCAAACAGG
rnacentral:rRNA from 1 species